rnacentral:lncRNA from 1 species
CUGAAACAAUCCUCGCUAGCCCCACCCGUCAUCCAGUCAUUUCCACCUCCACUCCUCCAUCACCUUUCUACUCAUUUACUCACUGCCUUCUAUUUUCUAGGCCACUUGCUAAGUGCUACAAAUAUGGCGAUGAAUAAGAUGGACUCCCUAUCUUCAAAGAACUUAUGCCUGAGGGGGUCAGGUAAAGAAGAUCCUCCCUAUGCAAGGCACCCAUUGUCUCCUGCGGCCUGGUGGAAAACAUCCACAGCAUAGGAUGGAUCAUGCUUACUCAACUCUGGCUGGGAUAAAAUGGUUUUAGCUGGGAUAAAGCCUCAUUGUUAACUUCAGAAUAGGUAGCAUCUCAAUUCUAGAAUGAAGCUAAAAUUCCUUUCUUUCUAUCGUCAGCCACUAUCCAGGUCACUUCUUCCAGAAGUCCCUGUCUGCCCCCUACCCACUUGACUUUGGUCCAAAGGUCCUCUAACUAGGCCACAGAAUAGGCUUUCUGAAGGCACUGCAAAAUAUGAAACACAGCAGGCAGCCUGUAAUUAGCAAUGAAGAUUCAUCCUUCCAUCAUUUUUGCUGGACUGUGCAGAACUUGGGUUCACUGUGUCUGCAGUUUUCAAACUUUUCUACUGAGCCUUUCUCCUGGUAGCUCUGGGUCAAAAUAAAAGGAAACUAAUUUUAUCAUUAAUAAAAAGUUUGUUCUAACUUUUCAAUGUUUCCAUGGUUGCCAGUAGCUGGAAAAAUAGCUUUCAAAAAGAGGAAACCCUUUUACACAUA